GGAGGAGUGUCCGAGUGGUUUAAGGAGGCGGACUUGAAAUCCGUUGGACUCUUUACAGGGUCCCGUGGGUUCGAAUCCCACCUCCUCCU
rnacentral:tRNA from 1 species